rnacentral:rRNA from 1 species
UGCCGUUCUUGAGAGAUGCAGAGGAGACUGGAAUUCCCGGUGUAGCGGUGAAAUGUGUAGAGAUCGAGAGGAACACCGGUGGCGAAGGCGAGUCUCUGAGCAUCUCCUGACGCUGAGGCGCGAAAGCGUGGGGAGCAAACGGGAUUAGAUACCCCGGUAGUCCACGCUGUAAACGAUGACGACUAGGUGUAGGGUGGUUCAGUCCAUUCCGUGCCGCAGCUAACGCAUUAAGUCGUCCGCCUGGGGAGUACGGCCGCAAGGUUGAAACUCAAAGGAAUUGACGGGGGCCCGCACAAGCGGUGGAGCAUGUGGUUCAAUUCGAUGCAGAGCGAAGAACCUUACCUGGGCUUGACAUGCUGGAAGUAGAACCCUGAAAGGGGAACGACCUGUUAAGUCAGGAGCCAGCACAGGUGGUGCAUGGCCGUCGUCAGCUCGUGCCGUGAGGUGUUGGGUUAAGUCCCGCAACGAGCGCAACCCUUACCCUAUGUUGCCAACGGUUCGGCCGGGCACUCUUAGGGGACUGCCGGCGAAGAGCUGGAGGAAGGGGGGGAUGACGUCAAGUCCGUAUGCCCCUUAUGCCCAGGGCUACACACAUGCUACAAUGCGCGGUACAGAGGGUUGCCAACUCGCAAGAGGGAGCCAAUCCCCCAAAGCCGCGCUCAGUUCGGAUUGCAGGCUGCAACUCGCCUGCAUGAAGUCGGAAUCGCUAGUAAGCGCAGAUCAGCAGGCUGCGCUGAAUACGUUCCCGGGCCUUGUACACACCGCCCGU